rnacentral:rRNA from 1 species
UACGGAGGGUGCGAGCGUUAAUCGGAAUAACUGGGCGUAAAGGGCACGCAGGCGGGCUUUUAAGUGAGAUGUGAAAUCCCCGGGCUUAACCUGGGAAGAGCAUUUGAGACUGGGAGUCUAGAGUACUAUAGGGAGGGGUAGAAUUCCACGUGUAGCGGUGAAAUGCGUAGAGAUGUGGAGGAAUACCGAUGGCGAAGGCAGCCCCCUGGGGUAACACUGACGCUCAGGCCCGAAAGCGUGGGUAGCAAACAGG